CACGGCUAGUGCGCGUCAGCAGCAGAGCUGCAAAUGAGGUGGAGUUAGAGAAGCUGUUUUAAAGUGCAGAGGGAAGCAAAAACCACACAAGCACAAACAUUUGCUGAGUUUAGGAGAACAGAAAGAAACAAGAGAAAGGAUGAAGCAAAGAAAAUAACCAAGCUGUCUCCAGUUCCCUCUGAACCUAGUCCAGGUCAGCACCAUUGCUGGCUAUACCACAAGACUCGCGAUCCAGCAAGACGCCAGAUUUUAUGAAAGGAUGGAUAUUCCUCACAAGUGCUAUCUUUACAUCAGAUUACAAUGUUUCCACGGUAUUUUUACUUUUUUUUUUUUUUUUUUCAUGACUGCUUUGCAACUUUCCCUGCUUCACAGUUCUACAACCAGUAUCUCUGUGUACGCACCCAACUUCUGAAAACCACUUCUUAACUCCCUGGAGGGAAAGCCAUGAGCAGAUGAGGCAGCACUUUCCUAUCCACUUCUGCACUGAAGAAGCAGUACCCCUUCCCCAAAGACUGCCAUUUUCCCUCCUAAAUAUCCCAAUGUAGUGCAAAUUCAUAGCUAUAUAUGUAAUCAACAUUUUUAAAAAGAUUUCUAAAGUCUGUAUCACAGCCUAUAAGAUUCUUCAGCGCACACAGAGGAAUUUAGGUACUUUCAGGUUAAAAUAGUUUUGGCAGAAUAAAGAAAACCAGAAGCAGCAAUGAAGAAACAUAAUCCUGAAAGUACAGGAUGUGUCCUUCCCUAUGUUCUAGGCUGCAACAUCGUUGGUAGGCAAGGUUAGAUAUGCAACAAUGAAAUAAACAGAAAGCAUGAGGAUUGCAAAGUAAAUAUUUGGGCAUUUCGGCAAACUGUUUGUGGGUGUUUUGUGCUUCUAAAUUUGUUUGUGUUAAUGUCUGCAUCCAAUUCACCUUGCAAAGGAGAGAUAACUGCAAUGAUCUGCCUCCUGCCCACAGUCCUCUCCCCCAUCAAUAUUUUUGCUUAUCUCUCUUCUCAUGUUUCUUGUUGUUUCAAACAGCUCUUUAGCAAGCCACAAAAAUGUCAGCUAUCCAGCUAGCUCUAAGAGGAACCCAGCUGAAGUAAAUACUCCACGCAGGCAUGCUGUCUCCCAUUUCUCAGUUAGUCCUCCUUGGGCCUGCUACACGGAGAUCGAGGGCCUUUAAAAUGUUCAGUGAGACCACGCGCUACAGAAACUGUUGCUUUCCCAGCACCGUGUUUCCAUAGCAACCGUCUUAUUAAAGCACUGCAGCCAUCUGCUUUAAAUAUUAACUUCACAAGACCAUCAGGACUAGCUUAAAACAAUAUCACAUGUUCAUUAAAUAUUAAA
rnacentral:lncRNA from 1 species